rnacentral:rRNA from 1 species
GCCUUAGUAACUGCGAGUGAAGCGGCAAAAGCUCAAAUUUGAAAUCUGGCGCCUUCGGCGUCCGAGUUGUAAUUUGGAGAGACAUCUUCGGAGUAGACGCCGUCCUAAGUUCCUUGGAACAGGACGUCACAGAGGGUGAGAAUCCCGUGCCUGGAUGGCUGUUCUACUUCAUGUGAAGUGUCUUCGACGAGUCGAGUUGUUUGGGAAUGCAGCUCAAAAUGGGAGGUAAAUUUCUUCUAAAGCUAAAUAUUGGCGAGAGACCGAUAGCGCACAAGUAGAGUGAUCGAAAGAUGAAAAGCACUUUGAAAAGAGAGUUAAAAAGUACGUGAAAUUGUUGAAAGGGAAGCGCUUGAGACCAGACUCGAUCAGUGGUGAUCAGCGGUGCUUCUGUACCGUGCACUUGCCAUUGAUUGGGCCAGCAUCGGUUUAGACGGCGGGAUAAAGACCUGAGGAAUGUGGCUCCCUCCGGGGAGUGUUAUAGCCUUGGGUGCAAUGCCGCCAGUCUGGACCGAGGACCGCGCUUCGGCUAGGAUGCUGGCGUAAUGGUCUUCAGCGACCCGUCUUGAAACACGGACCAAGGAGUCUAACAUCUAUGCGAGUGUUCGGGUGGAAAACCCUUGCGCGUAAUGAAAGUGAACGGAGGUGAGAACACUUCGGUGUGCAUCAUCGACCGAUCCUGAUGUCUUCGGAUGGAUUUGAGUAUGAGCAUAGCUGUUGGGACCCGAAAGAUGGUGAACUAUGCCUGAAUAGGGUGAAGCCAGAGGAAACUCUGGUGGAGGCUCGCAGCGGUUCUGACGUGCAAAUCGAUCGUCAAAUUUGGGUAUAGGGGCGAAAGACUAAUCGAACCAUCUAGUAGCUGGUUCC